ACUAUGACUGGCUCAUUAUAUAAGAUAUAGGUNAUUUGAUAGUACCUUACUACUUGGAUAACCGUGGUAAUUCUAGAGCUAAUACAUGCUAAAAAUCCCGACUUCGGAAGGGAUGUAUUUAUUAGAUUAAAAACCAAUGCCCCCUGGGCUCCUUGGUGAUUCAUGAUAACUUUUCGAAUCGCACGGCCUUGCGCCGGCGAUGGUUCAUUCAAGUUUCUUCCCUAUCAACUUUCGAUGUUUGGGUAUUGGCCAAACAUGNUUGCAACGGGUAACGGAGGGUUAGGGCUCGNCCCCGGAGAAGGAGCCUGAGAAACGGCUACUACAUCCAAGGAAGGCANCAGGCGCGCAAAUUACCCAAUCCCGAUUCGGGGAGGUAGUGNCAAUAAAUACUGAUNCAGGGCUCUUUUGGGUCUUGUAAUUGGAAUGAGUNCAAUUUAAAUCCCUUAACGAGGAACAAUUGGAGGGCAAGUCUGGUGCCAGCAGCCGCGGUAAUUCCAGCUCCAAUAGCGUAUAUUAAAGUUGUUGUGGUUAAAAAGCUCGUAGUUGAACCUUGGGCCUGGCUGGCCGGUCCGCCUCACCGCGUGCACUGGUCCGGCCGGGCCUUUCCCUCUGUGGAACCCCAUGCCCUUCACUGGGCGUGGCGGGGAAACAGGACGUUUACUUUGAAAAAAUUAGAGUGCUCCAGGCAGGCCUAUGCUCGAAUACAUUAGCAUGGAAUAAUGAAAUAGGACGCGUGGUUCUAUUUUGUUGGUUUCUAGGACCGCCGUAAUGAUUAAUAGGGACAGUCGGGGGCAUCAGUAUUCAAUUGUCAGAGGUGAAAUUCUUGGAUUUAUUGAAGACUAACUACUGCGAAAGCAUUUGCCAAGGAUGUUUUCAUUAAUCAGGAACGAAAGUUAGGGGAUCGAAGACGAUCAGAUACCGUCGUAGUCUUAACCAUAAACUAU
rnacentral:rRNA from 1 species